rnacentral:rRNA from 1 species
CCCGACUACAUGAAGCUGGAAUCGCUAGUAAUCGCGGAUCAGCAUGCCGCGGUGAAUACGUUCCCGGGCCUUGUACACACCGCCCGUCACACCAUGAGAGUCGGGAACACCCGAAGUCCGUAGUCUGACCGCAAGGGGGACGCGGCCGAAGGUGGGUUCGAUAAUUGGGGUGAAGUCGUAACAAGGUAGC